rnacentral:rRNA from 1 species
CCUACGGGGUGCAGCAGUGGGGAAUAUUGGACAAUGGGCGAAAGCCUGAUCCAGCCAUGCCGCGUGUGUGAAGAAGGCCUUCGGGUUGUAAAGCACUUUCAGUGGGGAAGAAAGCCUUGGGGCUAAUACCCUCGAGGAAGGACAUCACCCACAGAAGAAGCACCGGCUAACUCCGUGCCAGCAGCCGCGGUAAUACGGAGGGUGCGAGCGUUAAUCGGAAUUACUGGGCGUAAAGCGCGCGUAGGCGGUCUGAUAAGCCGGUUGUGAAAGCCCCGGGCUCAACCUGGGAACGGCAUCCGGAACUGUCAGGCUAGAGUGCAGGAGAGGAAGGUAGAAUUCCCGGUGUAGCGGUGAAAUGCGUAGAGAUCGGGAGGAAUACCAGUGGCGAAGGCGGCCUUCUGGACUGACACUGACGCUGAGGAGCGAAAGCGUGGGUAGCAAACAGGAUUAGAUACCCCAGUAGUC